UAAACCAAUUUUUUAUUAAAAUAAAACAAAAUCUAAUAUCAAUAAAUUGCUGGAUAACGGAGCCCGCAUCCUUUAUCCUCGCCAGGCCCCAAUUUUUUCUCUACAAACUUGCAUACAUAUCUAUAUAUAAUUACGCUAUUAAAAAAGUUUGUGUUCCCUUUUCGACUGUAUUGCCGUUGACAUACAUAUAUGGAUAAAAUUUAUACCGUUGGAAAAGAAAAGACGUGCACAACUCUAUUUUUUAGCAUGUACGUCAACGGGAACACAGGUAAAAAUACGUUGGGACAAAUUUAGCGACUACAACAACCACAAGCGCGGUGGCGUGGAAAUAACCUUGGAUAUCAUUCGUUUUAUUUUUGGUCAAUUUUAUGAUGGUGGUUGAAUCGACAAUAUCAACACAACAACGAAACAGGAAGUGAUUGAAUCUUUCCCGUUUUCUUUGAUUGCGGUUGGUUUGUUUCAACUUUUAACGAAAAUUGAAUUGAAACGUUAAUUUUAUUUUGGUUAAUUUGUUGGCUUCAUUAAAGAAUAAACGCGAUCAAUUGAAAAUUGAAUGCGAUUUAUUGAAUAAUAACUGCGAUCAAUUGAAGAAUCAACGAGAUAAAUUGCGUCAGAAUGUUUAAUUUUUUCAGAAAAAGGUGUUUUUCUUUAUUGAAAAGAUUUCAAAAUUUAGCAUUGGUUCGGGACUUCGUCGGUGCUUGCGUGGCCACAUAGGACGACAAAUUCAAAUUGGCCGAUUUGAUUCGAUUGUUCAUUCAGGGAAGAAUCAAGCCAAAAGCAGAACAGAACAAAUGAUUUUGCACGAAAUGAAUUAUAAAUUUUAAUUUUUUUAAAUUGUUUUCCACAACUUUCUUUAGAUAUUAUUUACAUUUUUUCAAAUUUUUUAAUAAAAUUUAAAUGCUAUUAACACUCACAA